CGGGUUGCUCAGAGCAUCUACGUGGGGAUGAUUCAUCCCACAAUAAAGCCCCUCUCCUGUUGCUCUCCUGCCAGUGUGAUUAGCAAUGGAGGUUUUAGGUGCUCAUAUUUACAAAAGGAAGUCUCUAUAUUCUGUGUAGAAGAAACUCAAAAAGUUCUCUAAAUGAGUAUUGUAUAUGGGAAUUUCCACUUUCAUUUAUGUCGCUUGUACUCCAUGAAAAUGUGCAGCCCUGGCAGUUACCCUGGAUGGUUUUGCUGUCGUGAUUAAAACACAGAUGGAGCUCAUCCCUUCCCUGGGUGUUUGAUUGGCAGACUCUCUGUGAUCAGCACUCUUCUCUGGUGAACACAUCAGCGCCAUCUGCCUUCUGUCUGCCUGGAGAGACUUGCCACAGUAGAGCUUCCUCAGCCUCACAUGAACCGCUGCAAAGGAUGUGCGCUCCUUUUGCUGAAGCCGUCAAAUAAAAAAGCUUUUUCAUGAAAAGCUAAAUAGAAUACAUGAAGAUUUUCACGACAGUAGGCUUCCGGAUUAAUGAAAUAUUCAUUUAAAUUGGACUUGGAGGAUAUGUCACUUCUUUUCUUUGAUUAAAAUAUUUAGAGCAUAACACAAAAUCACUGUGUCU
rnacentral:lncRNA from 1 species